rnacentral:piRNA from 1 species
UUGAAAUUUUUCUUUGUUAGCUUCCAAAUA